rnacentral:rRNA from 1 species
CCUACGGGGGCAGCAGUGGGGAAUUUUGGACAAUGGGGGCAACCCUGAUCCAGCCAUUCCGCGUGAGUGAAGAAGGCCUUCGGGUUGUAAAGCUCUUUCGGCAGGAACGAAACGGCCCUAGUUAAUACCUGGGGCUAAUGACGGUACCUGAAGAAGAAGCACCGGCUAACUACGUGCCAGCAGCCGCGGUAAUACGUAGGGUGCGAGCGUUAAUGUGAAUUACUGGGCGUCAAUUUUGCGCGGGCGGUGUGAAAUCCCCGGGCUUAACCUGGGAACUGCGUUUGUGACUGCAAGACUCGAGUACGGCAGAGGGGGGUGGAAUUCCACGUGUAGCAGUGAAAUGCGUAGAGAUGUGGAGGAACACCGAUGGCGAAGGCAGCCCCCUGGGCUAGUACUGACGCUCAUGCACGAAAGCGUGGGGAGCAAACAGGAUUAGAUACCCCUGUAGUC